UAAAAGAAAUCUUUAGUUAAGAAUUUUAUUUACGAUAAAAAUAUUCUGUUUAAUUCAGAUCUUUUA
rnacentral:tRNA from 1 species